rnacentral:rRNA from 1 species
UUCCUACGGGAGGCAGCAGUGGGGAAUAUUGCACAAUGGGCGGAAGCCUGAUGCAGCAACGCCGCGUGCGGGAUGACGGCCUUCGGGCUGUAAACCGCUUUCGCCUGUGACGAAGCGUGAGUGACGGUAAUGGGUAAAGAAGCACCGGCUAACUACGUGCCAGCAGCCGCGGUGAUACGUAGGGUGCGAGCGUUGUCCGGAUUUAUUGGGCGUAAAGGGCUCGUAGGUGGUUGAUCGCGUCNGAAGUGUAAUCUUGGGGCUUAACCCUGAGCGUGCUUUCGAUAC